rnacentral:rRNA from 1 species
AAUGCCGUUGAAACUGUCGGACUUGAGUGUAAAUGAGGUAGGCGGAAUGCGUGGUGUAGCGGUGAAAUGCAUAGAUAUCACACAGAACUCCGAUUGCGAAGGCAGCUUACUAAGCUACAACUGACACUGAAGCACGAAAGCGUGGGGAUCAAACAGGAUUAGAUACCCUGGUAGUCCACGCAGUAAACGAUGAUUACUAGCUGUUUGCGAUACACAGUAAGCGGCACAGCGAAAGCGUUAAGUAAUCCACCUGGGGAGUACGCCGGCAACGGUGAAACUCAAAGGAAUUGACGGGGGCCCGCACAAGCGGAGGAACAUGUGGUUUAAUUCGAUGAUACGCGAGGAACCUUACCCGGGUUUGAACGUAGGGAGACAGGGGUGGAAACAUCCUUUUCAGCAAUGACUGCCUACGAGGUGCUGCAUGGUUGUCGUCAGCUCGUGCCGUGAGGUGUCGGCUUAAGUGCCAUAACGAGCGCAACCCUUAUUUCCAGUUACUAACAGGUAAUGCUGAGGACUCUGGAGAGACUGCCAGCGUAAGCUGUGAGGAAGGUGGGGAUGACGUCAAAUCAGCACGGCCCUUACAUCCGGGGCGGCACACGUGUUACAAUGGUAAGGACAAAGGGCAGCUACCGGGCGACCGGAUGCGAAUCUCUAAACCUUAUCUCAGUUCGGAUCGGAGUCUGCAACUCGA